AUGAUGAACCAGUGGGGAGCGUCAGGCAAUUGGGGGCCUAAUCAGAUGCAGAAUCAACAGCUGCAGCAGCAGGGGGGAGGCACCGGUCCACAAUUCCAAGGGCAAGCACCACCCCAGAUGCAGAUGCAAGGGAAUCAGGGGCAACCUACCUUGAUGCAGUCAGUAGUAGAGAACAACAGAGAGAACAACAAUCAGACUCAGCAGCAAAAGAAGAAGCAACCACAGAACAAAAACAAGAAUAUCAACAAGGCCAAGGAUUCUUCUGGAGGUGACUACAGUGAUGUUACCUGCUACACAUGUGGAGAGCCUGGGCAUCAUAAGGCCCAGUGCCCAAAACCCCCCUCAUGUUUCAUCUGCAAGAUGGUGACACACAAAGUAGAUGACUGUCCAGUUAGAAAGAAGCCUAGGAAUUGUGCUAAGUAUGUGGGCAGUGCAGCUUCAGGUUUAGGUUUCUUCAAAAUUGAUGUCCCAGAUGUCAAUGAGCAACAUGUAGGAAACAUGAAAAAUGUUGGGAUUGUUUACAUAGAAGCUCGGCAGGUCACUAAGGAAGAACUAGCCCAUAACUUCUCUGUCAUAUACAAAACCAAUUGGCCAUGGCACAUCAGGAUGCUAGACAGCUGGACUUUUCUAGUCAAAUUCCCCCAUCAUAUCCCUGUAGCAACAGUUGCUGGCUACCCCAACUUUGGACUGCCUGAGAUUGAUGGAGUUUCAGUCAAUGUUGAGGUGUGGAAAGGAGAGAUGGAAUUUCAUGCAGAACUCCAGUCUGUUUGGCUUCAGUUAAGAGGAGUGGCUCCAGCCUGGGCAGGAUGGUCAGUUUUAGAGCAAGUUGCCUCUGUUUUGGGCUCUUUGAUUGAUGUGGACUGGCAGGAAAACUUCAAAUCUUUCUUUGAGGUGGUUAGAAUCAAAAUCAGAUGCAAAGACUUUACCAAAAUUCCUACUAAAAGAAUCUUUGGAAUAGGAGACAAGCUGUAUAAGAUCAAGAUUGUUGUGGAACCACCAGUGGAUGACCUAGAUCAGGAUGAUCUUCUGGAUGAAGACACUGAGAAGAGUAAAGAAAAAGAAUCACUGAACAAUGCCAAUAAUGAUGAUGGGGCUGGAGGCUCUCAUCACACUACAAAAAAUUCCUCAUCUCAGUCUGGGGAAAUGGUUCUACCUCUGGAACUCCUCACCAAACUAAGCAAAAUGUGCUAG
rnacentral:rRNA from 1 species